rnacentral:tRNA from 1 species
AUUUAUAUAGUUUAAAAAAAACAUUACAUUUUCAAUGUAAAAUUAAGAUUAACUUUAUAAAUUUAUAAAAUA